rnacentral:rRNA from 1 species
UACGUAGGGGGCAAGCGUUAUCCGGAUUUACUGGGUGUAAAGGGAGCGUAGACGGCAUAGCAAGUCUGAAGUGAAACUCCGGGGCUCAACCCCGGAACUGCUUUGGAAACUGUUAAGCUGGAGUGUCGGAGAGGUAAGUGGAAUUCCUAGUGUAGCGGUGAAAUGCGUAGAUAUUAGGAAGAACACCGGAGGCGAAGGCGGCUUACUGGACGAUAACUGACGUUGAGGCUCGAAAGCGUGGGAAGCAAACAGG